GACGAACGCUGGCGGCGUGCUUAACACAUGCAAGUCGAACGGUGAAGCGCCUUCCUUUUUGGUGGGUGUGGAUGAGUGGCGAACGGGUGAGUAACACGUGAGUAACCUGCCCCCUUCUUCUGGAUAACCGCAUGAAAGUGUGGCUAAUACGGGAUAUUCUGGGUCUGUCGCAUGAUGGGUCUGGGAAAGAUAUUGUUUCGGUGGGGGAUGGGCUCGCGGCCUAUCAGCUUGUUGGUGGGGUGAUGGCCUACCAAGGCGGUGACGGGUAGCCGGCCUGAGAGGGUGGACGGUCACACUGGGACUGAGACACGGCCCAGACUCCGAAGGGAGGCAGCAGGGGGGAAUAUUGCACAAUGGGCGCAAGCCUGAUGCAGCGACGCCGCGGGAGGGAUGGAGGCCGUCGGGUUGUGAACCUCUUUCGCAAGUGAAGCAGGCCUGCCUCGUUUGUGGGUGGGUUGACGGUAGCUGGAUAAGAAGCGCCGGCUAACUACGUG
rnacentral:rRNA from 1 species